GUCACAUUUGUUUUGUUAUCAAACACGUAAUAAAGAAAAAGAAGAAACCAUGGAAACAAAGAAAAAAAAUCAUAUAAUGGUAUAAUGAAUGCGCUACGAAGUACCAAUUUUAAAAAUAGAUGCGGUGGUUGGUGCAUAUAUACACUAUACAGUCAGCUGGGAGCAGUAGCCUUUGCGACGUCUCGUGCUACUCCGUUUGUGGUUGCUAUUUAGCAACGGCCGGUGUAUAAACAUAGAUGGCUGCCCGUAAACGUCAAAUUUCCUCGGAGUAAUCUAGCGACGCCUUCUCGUGCGAUCAUGUGCCUGAGGAUAUUUAUCUUUUGCAUCUUACAUUAGAGUACAGUAAAUUGGCCAGCGCGAUUUGAUUAAGUGUGCUAGCCACCGUCAUCGGGAAGACAAUACUUUUUAGACAAUACUCUUCAUCGGGUCUAAGACGACAUCAGAAUUUCGAUUGAAAAUGGCAGAUGAUCCGAAUCGUGAUAUCUUGCCGGUAAAAGAAGGUUCCUGCGCGGAUACAAUCAACAGUGUCAUAGAUCCUAGGGAACGUCAUCUCGUUUGCAAGCUUGAUCGCUAUCAGCUGGAAGACAAGUAUCUACGCGUACUCGAUGAGAUGAACAAUCUGAAGAAAUUAUCCAACUGCCAGGAAGAUAAGAUCAAGCGGCUUGGAACGAAGUUGAUUAGACUAGCAGGCAAUCCAAGAUCAUGUGGACUAGCAUUAGAUAUCGCCGACGAUAGAACGACCGCUUUGGAGCUUGAAAAUACCAAGCUGAAGGAGAAAAUUGCCGUGAUGAGGAAUCAAUUGUUGAGUCACACGAUGAGCGGCAGAUCGUCGUCGCGCAGCCGUAAUCUCGUUAGACCAUCGUCUUCCGGGCUUGUGACGUGUCGAAGCGAGAAUAUCCGCGCGAGAGCGCCGUCCUGUCAAUGCAUCGUCGGUGCGGGGGACGAUAAUAACGACACACAAAAUUACCUCAUUAAAAUCGAGAAACUGGAAGUACAAAAGAAAGAUAUGGCAUGUCGUAUAAUGGAAUUAGAGAAAGAGUUAACGUUUUUGACAAAUAAUCAAAAGGAGAAGGUCGCGGAAAAUGUAGAGUAUAUACGAGUAUGGCGGCAAAUGAAGCAACUGAACGAUAAACUAAUGACGACUCAGGAAAAGAACACUGCACUGACCAGUGAAAUUAAUGACUUAAAAACAACUCUUGAACAAACGACAAGGAAUAAUCAGGAAAUCGCCGCCGUUCUUUCCUCGGAGAGAACGCGUAUGGCCGAAAUUGAUGACCAAAUGUUAAAGGCAAAGAAUUCACAAUUUACGUUACGCGAGAAGGAUGAGCAGAUACGGGAUCUUAUGAACGAAAUUAAAAUAUUACAACAACAUAAUAACGAACUUAUCGGACUCACUUCAAAAUACGGUCAAGUCGAAUUAGAGAAUGUUGAAUUAAAAAAAAGACUUUCUGAAGAUGCUCAAGAACAACAGAUUUUGAAGACUGCAUUCAAUAAUGAGCAGGCUAAUAUUGUAGCAUUAAAGGCGGCCAAUGAACAAUUGCUCGCAAAACUUCAAGAAUUGCAGGGAAACAUAGAUACCUUGAUGGUACAAUUAACGUCUUUAUAUACGCAAGAUAAAAUGCGCGACGGUAAACCAACGGUACCACCGUAUACGGAACAAUGUAGAAGAUGUUGCGAAAUGUAUGAUAAAAUUAUGCAGUCGGAAAAAACUGGUAAUAUUCGGGAAAAUUGGCAAUUAGUGGAUAAAUCGGUACAGACAAUCGUCGUUAGUAGCACCAGGGAACAGGGUACAAUGAUAAUUUCAAAUAAUGAAGGCAAAGCAUCAUUGAAGGAAUGGAAUACGACUCAGGAAACAAACGGCACGAAUGUUUUAUCCCGCGAAAAAAUACUAAAGCUGUUGGAUCAAGCACAGAUUAACACACCUCUGGAUGCGUCGAGGAUCGCUCCUAAGGAAGAAUACGCGAGCACUUUGGACGUAGCUCAGAGGCACAGCGAUAGCAGAAUAUCUUCUCAACAUGAUGCGUCAAACUCUGUACAGGAGAAUUCACAGAAAAGAUUUACAUAUUUAGAGAAUUCGAACAUAACUCUAGGUCAAAUGUUUUUGAUUUUAUUUGACGUUUUACAAGGACUUUUGUUUAAUGAUACCGAUAAAAAACCAUCUUUGAACUGUCAAGGAUCUGCGAUCAGGGAUAUGCUAAUUGACUCCAACAACAACAAUCUUCAUACGAUUAUUACUAACAAUAUUAAACAGCAUGAUUGUAGUACGGAAACAACAAAAAAUUUUGAAACUGAUUAUUGUGCGAGCUGUUUUCAUCCUACAUGUAAAAAGAAAUCUGCAACCAUCUUAACAAGAGAUAUUGAUUCAUCGAUGAAAAACACAUUUGAUGCUGCUUCCUUUCCUAUAACUCACGAGAAGUACAAAAAAUCGUCGUAUCGAGAUAUUAGUACAGAUUUCUGCCCAGAAAAGUCAAUAAAGUUAAAAAGAUUAAAACCGUCACGUUAUACCAGGUGUAAUUUAACGUGUCACUUGCGCAAAGUGAAAGAUCCAUUGUCCCUGCAGGAGAAACUUAAAUUACCCUGCAAAAUCGAAUGUUUAAAAGAUAGCGUGCAGUUACCAAAAUGCGCAAUGGAGUUUUCUCCUUUAUUAAUUACUGACAAGCAAGGUCUCAUUGAGAUUCAUAUUUCGCGAUUGCAACUUUCUACAUCGGUCGCGAAAAUCCCGGAUGAAGAAGAUAUAUGUAAUUUUUACAUUUACGUAAGCUGGGAUAUUUGGGACGAGAAGACCGCUUACACACCGAAAAUGAAAUGUCCCAAUUUGAUCUUUAAUUCGUCCUCUGUAUAUCGCAUAGCAGAUCUCUUCUCCUUCUUUGAGAAUGUACUGUCAGAUUAUCUCUUUUUCCGAGUGAACAUUGUUCGCCGAGAUAAUACCAACUACACGCUCGCUCGGGCGAAAGUCUCCAUCAAAGACAUCUUAGAUUAUCCACAGAACAAAUUGCAUUACAUUGUACCCGUGAACGGCAUUAUUCCUUCAUUUCUUGGUGUCAAUUUUGGGCAAUUGUCGUUGUGGGUUCGAUUGAGCUGCAACGUUGACAUGGUCAAAUCUUUUAAAAAACAAUACGAUAUAAACUCAUUGAAAGAUACUCUCCCUACGCCUCCAGUAAAGAAAGAUAUAACUGACGUAUCUCGAAAACCUCUUUUUCCACAUUCUACGAUUCCUCCACAUGUCAGUGACGUGAUGUCGAUCAAAGAUCAACAAAAGGAUAGUUUGGUGUUCCAAGAUUCAAUGGAUCAAGACACCCAAUCACUACUAGACUCAAGUUUUCAAUAUGAAAUUGAAAACUCGGAUGAUGAAAAUUCAAAUAAUGAAGAAUUGACUUUAUCCACCAAUGCAACAAAUAAAAUGUCUAAAGAAGAGAAUGGGAUGAUUACAUCUAGAUUCCAAAAUGUAUAAUAACAACGAGAAAAAAGAAAAUAAUGCUUCGAGGGACUCACCGAGCGUGACGGAGUUAAGGACAUUACUCGCGAAUGGCCGUGAAAAGGAUGCGAUAAUCAUAGAAAUAGUGAGCAUGCAGCUUUUAAAUGAAAGUUGCAUUAUGCAGGACGAUGAGAUACAGUUGCUUUAUAUAGAAUAUUCCUUUCUCGGGAAUUUUGGCGAAGAUAUG
rnacentral:misc_RNA from 1 species